GAUGAACGCUAGCGACAGGCCUAACACAUGCAAGUCGAGGGGCAGCACAUGCGUAGCAAUACAAUGGUGGCGACCGGCGCACGGGUGAGUAACACGUAUGCAACCUACCUGUAAGAGGGGAAUAACCCGGAGAAAUUCGGACUAACACCGCAUAAUACCUCGAAGCUGCAUGGCUUUGAGGUUAAAUAUUUAUAGCUUACAGAUGGGCAUGCGUAACAUUAGAUAGUUGGUGAGGUAACGGCUCACCAAGUCAACGAUGUUUAGGGGUUCUGAGAGGAAGGUCCCCCACACUGGUACUGAGACACGGACCAGACUCCUACGGGAGGCAGCAGUGAGGAAUAUUGGUCAAUGGGCGAGAGCCUGAACCAGCCAAGUCGCGUGAAGGAAGAAGGUUCUAUGGAAUGUAAACUUCUUUUGUAAGGGAGUAAAAAAGCUUACGUGUAGGCUAUUGUAUGUACUUUACGAAUAAGGAUCGGCUAACUCCGUGCCAGCCGCCGCCGUAAUAC
rnacentral:rRNA from 1 species